rnacentral:ncRNA from 1 species
UACGGCCGCAAGGCUAAAACUCAAAGGAAUAGACGGGGACUUGCACAAGCAGAGGAUUAUGUGGUUUAAUUCGAUGGUAAACGAAAAACCUUACCAAGAUUAGAAAUGCAUUCGAAUCCCAGAGGAAACUUUGGGAGCCGCAAGGCGGAUGCACAGGUGAUGCAUGGCCGUCGUCAGUUCGUGAUUUGAGUUGUUCCCUUCAGUGGGGUAACGAACGCAACCCUCGUUGCCUGUUAUAUUUGUCAGGCGAGACUGCCCCUUUUCAGGGGAGGAAGGUGAGGAUGACGCCAGGUCAGCAUGUCCCUCUGAUAUCUUGGGCUACACACAUAAUACAAUCGUCGGUACAACGGGUCGCAAUGGAGUAAUCCGGAGCUAAUCCUUAUAAAGCCGGCGUCAGUUCAGAUUGGGGGCUGAAACUCGACCCCAUGAAGUUGGAUUUGCUAGUAAUCGCGGGUCAGCUANNNNNNNNNNNNNNNNNNNNNNNNNNNNGAUUUGCUAGUAAUCGCGGGUCAGCUAUACCGCGGUGAAUACGUUCUCAAGUCUUGUACUCACCGCCCGUCAACUCAAGGGAGUUGGGAGUACCCGAAGACCUACCUCGCGUGGGUUUAAGGUAAGCUCAAUGACAGGGAGUAAGUCGUAACAAGGCACGGGUAGCGGAAGCUGCUCGUGGAGUAAUUCAAUU